CCUACGGGAUGCAGCAGUGAGGAAUAUUGGUCAAUGGACGCAAGUCUGAACCAGCCAUGCCGCGUGCAGGAAGACGGCUCUAUGAGUUGUAAACUGCUUUUGUACGAGGGUAAACGCAGAUACGCGUAUCUGUCUGAAAGUAUCGUACGAAUAAGGAUCGGCUAACUCCGUGCCAGCAGCCGCGGUAAUACGGAGGAUUCAAGCGUUAUCCGGAUUUAUUGGGUUUAAAGGGUGCGUAGGCGGUCGGAUAAGUUAGAGGUGAAAUCCCGAGGCUCAACUUCGGAAUUGCCUCUGAUACGGUUCGGCUAGAGACGGCGAGAAGUACGCGGAAUGCGCGGUGUAGCGGUGAAAUGCAUAGAUAUCGCGCAGAACUCCGAUUGCGAAGGCAGCGUACCGGCGCCGGACUGACGCUGAGGCACGAAAGCGUGGGUAUCGAACAGGAUUAGAUACCCCAGUAGUC
rnacentral:rRNA from 1 species